rnacentral:rRNA from 1 species
GAUGAACGCUGGCGGCGUGCCUAAUACAUGCAAGUCGAGCGAACAGACGAGGAGCUUGCUCCUCUGACGUUAGCGGCGGACGGGUGAGUAACACGUGGAUAACCUACCUAUAAGACUGGGAUAACUUCGGGAAACCGGAGCUAAUACCGGAUAACAUGUUGAACCGCAUGGUUCAACAGUGAAAGACGGUCUUGCUGUCACUUAUAGAUGGAUCCGCGCCGCAUUAGCUAGUUGGUAAGGUAACGGCUUACCAAGGCAACGAUGCGUAGCCGACCUGAGAGGGGGAUAGGACACACUGGAACUGAGACACGGACAAGACGACGACGGGAGGCAGCAGUAGGGGAUAGUCAGAAAUGGGCGCAAGACUGAAAGAGCAACGAAGCGAGAGUAAUGAAGGUUUACGGAUCGGAAAACUUUGUUAUUAGGGAAGAAAAAAUGUGUAAGUAACUAUGCACGGCUUGACGGUACCUAAUAAGAAAGACACGGCUAACGACGGG